GACGAACGCUGGCGGCGCGCCUAACACAUGCCAGUCGAACGAGCGAGCGAGAGCUUGCUUUCUUGAGCGAGUGGCGAACGGGUGAGUAACGCGUGAGGAACCUGCCUCAAAGAGGGGGACAACAGUUGGAAACGACUGCUAAUACCGCAUAAGCCCACGACCCGGCAUCGGGUUGAGGGAAAAGGAGCAAUCCGCUUUGAGAUGGCCUCGCGUCCGAUUAGCUAGUUGGUGAGGUAACGGCCCACCAAGGCGACGAUCGGUAGCCGGACUGAGAGGUUGAACGGCCACAUUGGGACUGAGACACGGCCCAGACUCCUACGGGAGGCAGCAGUGGGGAAUAUUGCACAAUGGGGGAAACCCUGAUGCAGCGACGCCGCGUGGAGGAAGAAGGUCUUCGGAUUGUAAACUCCUGUUGUUGAGGAAGAUAAUGACGGUACUCAACAAGGAAGUGACGGCUAACUACGUG
rnacentral:rRNA from 1 species